GAUGAACGCUGGCGGCAGGCUUAACACAUGCAAGUCGAACGGUGAAGGCGGAGCUUCCUCUGCUGGAUCAGUGGCGAACGGGUGAGUAACACGUGAGCAAUCUGCCCCUGACUCUGGGAUAAGCGCUGGAAGCGGCGUCUAAUACUGGAUACGAGCUGCGAAGGCAUCUUCAGCAGCUGGAAAGAAUUUCGGUCAGGGAUGAGCUCGCGGCUUAUCAGCUUGUUGGUGAGGUAAUGGCUCACCAAGCCGUCGACGGAUAGCCGGCCUGAGAGCGUGACCGGCCACCCUGGGCCUACGACACGCAGCAGACGGGUAUAGGAGGCAGUAGGGGGGAGUAUUGUACAGUGGGAGCGAGCGUGAUGAAGAAGCGCUGGGUGAGGGAAGACGGCCUUCGGGUUGUGAAACUCUGUAAGCAAGGAAGAAGCGAAAGUGACGGUACCUGCAGAAAAAGCGCCGGCUAACUACGUG
rnacentral:rRNA from 1 species